rnacentral:snoRNA from 1 species
AAGACUAUACUUUCAGGGAUCAUUUCUAUAGUCCGUUACUAGAGAAGUUUCUCUGAUCGUGUGGAGCACCCGAACCUGCCAAACAGUCUCUGGAGGAGCCCAAGCACCCUCUUUGGAGUGGGAGCUGGUUCCAGGGGUUGCUUUUGCAACUGCCUUUUACCACUAGUGAUGUUUCUUCUCCCCUUGGAAGAGUGUAGGAGAGGAUGCAGUCUGAGUGG